UACGAAGGGGGCUAGCGUUGCUCGGAAUCACUGGGCGUAAAGGGUGCGUAGGCGGGUUUUUAAGUCAGGGGUGAAAUCCUGGAGCUCAACUCCAGAACUGCCUUUGAUACUGAAGAUCUUGAGUCCGGGAGAGGUGAGUGGAACUGCGAGUGUAGAGGUGAAAUUCGUAGAUAUUCGCAAGAACACCGGUGGCGAAGGCGGCGACCUGGUCCGAGACUGACGCUGAGGCGCGAAAGCGUGGGGAGCAAACAGG
rnacentral:rRNA from 1 species